GUUAUGUAGCAAUCAG
rnacentral:tRNA from 1 species